rnacentral:lncRNA from 1 species
ACUUCCUGUAGCAACUGUUUCGUGCUCUUAAGUCUGGUAUGUUUUGUUUUCUUGAAUUUUAAGGUGUUCAGACUUAAUCUUCUCUCGGCUUGGUUUUGGGGUUCAUUAAGCGUUUCUCUUUUCCUUCCUAAAGCUUUACUAAAUUUCUUAUUAUAAUCUUUUCAUGAAGUACUGGCUUUCCAUGUCUUCUUUUUUUUUUUUUUUGGAGACAGGGUCUCACUCUGUCGCCCAGGCUGGAAUGCAGUGGCGUGAUCUUGGCUCACUGCAGCUUCCGCCUCCCGGGUUGGUUCAAGUGAUUCUCGUGCCUCAGCCUCCGAGUAGCUGGGAUUACAGGUGUGCGCCAGAAGACCCAGCUAAUUUUUGUAUUUUUAGUAGAGAUGGGAUUUUGCCAUGUUGGCCAGGCUGGUCUCAAACUCCUGACCUCAAGUGAUCCACCCACCUCGGCCUCCCAAAGUUCUGGGAUUACAGGCGUGAGCCACUGAGCCAUGCCUUCUUUACAUUCUUUUCUUCCUCGGUUCCCCCAAAUCAGGGGCAGAUUUUCUCUCAUGUUUGCUUCAUAUCCUUCUGAUUGUAGGUAAAACAACCUCUUUGAUAAAUUCUCCCUCUGUAGCUUGAUUUCUUCAAAAUAUAUCAUAACUUUUGCUCUUCUGCUAAUAAAAUGACAUCUUUUACAUAAUUUAUUUUUUAAAACAUUUCUGCAGAGCCUGAUGUUGAAUCACUUCAGAUCUUUUACUCUUUGUGGAAAAGAAUGGUCCCCAAGAAGAAAAUGGCAAAUGCACCAAUUCUCAUUAGAGGCUCCCAAGGUGCCCCAGGAAAACCAGGGAUUCCGAAUCCAAAACAACUGCACUCUGGUUGGCUGGCAGAUGGGCACCUCUUCUGUGUUGUUUCCCAGCCCUGUUCUCAAACACUGAUGCCUUUCAGCUCGUGUGCAAACCACAAGCUUCUCCUGACAGGUGGAAUUUCCUCAGGACUGUCCGUCUCAGGUGCGUCCAUGUCUGUCUGCACCUGGAUGGCAUCGCCUCUCCAUCUCGAGGACGCCAUCUGGAGGGGGCAGGGCAGGGUGGCUGAUCCCCUGCAGGCCCCAGCCCUGUGACUCAGCCACCAAAGCCCAAUCUCCAGCCCAAGGGAACCAAGGGUAUCUUCUUCAUCAUCCUUCCAGUCCUCUUCCCCUUCGCCGGGCUCCAGCCUCAGCUUGGCCCUCACCUCCACUCCUCUCCCCUCUCACCCCUGCCCCCAUUCCACUUCAUCUCCCUCCCUCACCUUAGGGCACCUCUGCCUGCUCCUUAUGCUGGAGUUGAUUUUCUACAAUCUCAACUCAGCCAAGAGAUCUCAUCACCUAAAAAAGUGAUGUGAACCUUAAGAUCACAUAUGUCAUAUGGGGGUGAAGGUGGGGGUGGGAGGCACUAAGGGCAGGGCAGCAGGUGGGUCAGCCCCAGGUGCUGGCAAUAGAUGGGGGUCCAGGUCAGCAGAGAACCUAAAAACAAUAAAGCAACUGAUUAGCCCG